rnacentral:lncRNA from 1 species
AAGUGACGACCAAUCAACAGAUACAUAUAUCUAUAUAUAGAGAAAGAGAGAUCAUAAAAGAUCACAACAUCGAACCAUGGAGAAAUCAACUAGAACCCUAAUGAUCAUAACCAUCGUGAUAACCUCCAUGUUGGUAGGGUUUGGAAGCUCAGAUCUGGAUCAAGACAGAGAAGAGUGUACGGACCAGUUGAUAGCACUCUCACCAUGUCUCCCAUACGUGGGAGGAAACGCAAAGGCUCCAACAAAAGAUUGUUGUGGUGGUUUUGAUCAGGUUAUAACAAAGAGUGAGAAGUGUGUUUGCAUAUUGGUCAAAGACAAAGAUGAUCCUAAUCUUGGCCUCAAGUUUAACGCAACACUAGCUGCUCAUAUUCCCACCCUUUGUCAUAUUACAGCUCCUAACAUCACCAAGUGUAUUUGUAAGUCUCAUUCUCUUCUUUUUUGUUUUUUUUUUAAAUUUGAUUUUGGAGAUCAUGUACGUAUACUAAGCAGGUGAUUCCUAGUACAAUGGACAGUCUUAUUUCAGUUAUUAGUUAUUUGAAGUAUUCUUCGUUUUAGUUUAGUUGUUUUCUUUUUGGGGAAUGUUCCUUUCUCAUACUAAACUGCGAGUUUUUUUAUUCUUCUUUCCCUUAUUAGUUUAGUUGUUAUACCAUAUGGAAAUGAAAGUAGUUCUAGUAUCUACAGCUUUUUUUUUUUAUCAAAAAAAUAAAAAUAAUAUAUAUAUAUAUAUAUAAGCCGUAGAUACUAGAACUUUUAGUCUGUUUUAAUUAUUAGUCUUUAUUUUGGAGAUCACAUACAAUUAUUAAUGUGUGAUUUUAUAAUAUUUUAGAUUGUUAAAUAGUACUGUAUUAUUAUUAUUUCUUCAGUUGUUAUUAUACGGUAUGGAACGACAAUUGAUGGUAUUUAAUGAUAUAUAUUUGCUUCUUUGUUUACUGAAUCACGAAUUUUUAUUUAUUUUAAACUUGUUUGCAUUUGAUUUUAUGGGAAAGCGCUUCUGCAUUUAUCUCCAAACUCGACACUGGCUAAAGAGUUUGAGAGUUUAGGAAGGAUUGAAUAUGAAGGAAAGACCAACUCCACAUCUCCUUCACAUAAUGUUAAAGGUAACUAAAAUCAAUUAAAUCUGCUCAAGUAAUUAGUCCAUCUCUUUUAAGUUAAUCUAAUCAACAUUACUAUCUAAUUAAGCACACCAUUGAGCUAAUCCCAUGAUCAAUAAUUCAAUACAUAUGAAUCAAUAAAGAUGGUGUGCUUAAUUACUGCUUAUCAAAUAUACUGACUCUGUAAAUGUUUUUCUUUGUGUAUGUAUAUAAAGAUGGGACUGGAGGAGGAAAAGCUGAACAAGUGAAGAGUACUGGAGAGAAGAAGAGUUGGUUGGCUGUUGAGCUUUUAAUAUUUGCUCUCUUCUCUCAUCUUCUCUUCAUUAUCCCUUCUUUCACAUCUUCCUCCUUUAUUUAAUGUUACGUUCUUCUGCUUUAAUUUAUGUUAUAUAGUUACAUCUAAAUUUAUAUAUGCAUGUGCAUGCAUAUGAUUUAUGCAUGUAAGUGAGUGCAAACUUGUAAUGGGUAUUGAGAUUUUAAUAACGAAAGCGUAGCUUUUAAUCUUGUUGCUACUUGCUCUUGUGUACGCUAGUGCUUUUUUGUUUCCACAAAAGUGCAUUCUUGUAUGAGACAUAACAAAUGUAGCAAGUUAAGAUCAUUUAGUAAAUCGUAAUGUUGUUAGUAAGGUGUUGUCAAAAACACAAGGUGUUAGUAUGCUAAUUUUUGUUUAUAAAUCAUAGCUUUUAAAAUAACGUUAGCAUGAAUCACUUAGCCUAAUCUAGUUUUCUCAUGUAAAUAUAGAAAAAAAAAAAACGAAUGAUCACUAAAACUACGGUUCAGUGUCAGUGACAAGGCCCAGACCCGUCCCACCAUAACCAACAAGCUUCACCAGCAGCCCGUGGGCUUGAAGAAACUAAAGUAAAUAUUAUGAACAAUAAUAUCUUAAUGCAACUAAGAAAAUAGAGUAAAACAAAAAAACAUCAAAAAUUAUGUUCAAACAAAUCCAAAGAGGAAAAAGUGUUUCACCUCCCACAUAGCAAUCCAUAAUCUAUAUUCUCUAAAAUAAAGAUUCAAAAAUAUGUAAAACAACAGCUUAGAACAAAGUAUGUAUUGAAGAAAAAAUAAAGUAUGUAUAUUGAAGUAUUUUUCACCAUAUUCACUCUUCAAAAUUCACAUUAAUUGAUUGAAGAAAAAAUUGCAUCUGCUCCAUGAUAAAAAUUAGCAUCCUUUUAUAUAUAAAUGUUCACAAGUUUUGUUAGUGUUGGUACGGUUUGGUUCUGUCCGGUCUGGUAUUACUUGAGGAGUAAACUUCGCUGGAGUCGAGAUAAGGUCGUAUAAGAGUUGUUAGAGAAUAUAGAAUAUACGUAGAUGUUGAUAACUAAGGAUCUAUUGUGAAGAUCUCUUUGUCUUGUAUAUAUUCUCAUUGUGAGUACUGAAUACAACAACACGUUCUCAAUACUUUCUUCCUAAGUUUACAUGGUAUCAGAGCAGUGCUAGAUCCAGUAGAAGAAAUUGUUGAGAAAAAAAUAUCAUGUCAAAAGAUCUUGCAGUUGCAAGCGUCAGUGGUGGGAGCAGUAUGUCCUCACCUUACUUUCUGUCACAUUCAGAUAAUCCUGGUGUCUCCAUCUCUCCAGUCUCGUUGACAGGAGAGAAACUAUGCCGAGUGGUCGUCGGAGCUGGAGAACGCGCUGCAUGCCAAGCGUAAAACAGGAUUCAUCGAUGGAUCUCUGACUAUGCCGAGUGAGUCGGAGAAGCCGGCAGAAGCUGAGCAGUGGAAGACUGUAAAUUCAAUGAUUGUGGGUUGGAUAAGGGCUUCCAUCUCGCCCACGAUCCGUUCAACCGUGACAUUCACGCCUGAUGCGUACAAGAUGUGGGAUGAUCUGAAGAGGAGAUUCUCCGUCGGGAAUGCGGUUCGAGUACAUCAACUGAGGGCAGAGUUAGCGGCUUGUAGACAAGACGGUUCCAGUGUUAUGGAAUACUUUGGUCGCUUGGUGCUCAAGUGGGAGGAGCUUCUCAGAUACAAACCAAUCCCACAAUGUACUUGCGGGGCCUCAGAGAAGUUCGUUGCAGAGUAUGAAGAGGAGAAAGUGCACACGUUCCUAAUGGGACUAGAUGAUGCUCGUUUUGGUAACGUGUGUACGAACAUCAUUGGCAUGGAGCCCUUACCAGAUCUCAACUCUGUUUAUCAGCGAGUGAUAAGGGAAGAGAGACGUCUGGUAUCGUCCAGAGUUGAACCUAAACAAGACGCAGUCGGGUUCAUGGCGAAAUCAGACGGAGGUGCUGGCGACAGUGCGUCUAUGAGUGGUUUGAUUGCAGCAGUGGCUCGCAGUCGUGGUAGCUCGUUGGUAUGUUCUCAUUGUGGAAGGUCUGGACACGACAAGAAGGAUUGCUGGCAGAUUGUCGGGUUCCCGGAGUGGUGGACAGAACGCAGUCAGAACAGCGAGCGUGGUGGACGCAACAGAGGAAGAGGGCGAGGCCGUGGUCAGGCAAAGGCUAAUGCAGCUCAAGCAACGAGCAGCGCUGGUGUUCCUUGACUCACCAACGAACAGUGGGCCUCUCUAACUGCUCUUCUUGAGCAGCAAAAGAGCUCACCGAUUCCUGACAAGUUGAAUGGUAAGCAGCAGACCGGUGAGGUGAUCCUCGACACCGGGGCAUCUCACCAUAUGACUGGUCAUCUCUCUCUGCUUACUGAAACAGUUAAUAUUGUGAACUGCCCUGUGAGCUUCGCAGAUGGUAGUCAAGUUCUCGCGUCAAAGAGUGGUUCUCUUAGGCUCUCAGACAAGAUUACGUUGAUGAAUGUUAUGUUUGUGCCUAAUCUGAAUUGCACACUGUUAUCGGUUGCUAAGUUGCUUAAGCAAACCGGAUGUCUUGCUGUCUUUACUGACACUCUGUGUGUGUUGCAGGACCGUUUUACGAGGACCCUGAUUGGAGCCGGUGAAGAACGGGAUGGCGUUUAUGUUUAUCGAGAUGUUACUAUGGCACGAGGACACAGAAUCAAAGCCGCUGAGGACAAGACGCUGUGGCAUCGGAGAUUAGGACAUCCUGCAUUUGGUGUUUUAGGAAAUUUGCCUUUUGUUUCUGGUGUUUUAGACAAUAAAGAAAAGUUUGGUGGUUGUGACAUUUGUUUUAAAUCAAAACAAACUCGCGGGGUGUUUUCCGAGAGUUUUAAUAAAGCUUCAGUGCCAUUUGAGUUAAUACAUGUUGAUCUAUGGGGUCCCUAUCGCAAACAAUCUUCCUGCGGUGCAGUGUACUUCCUUACGAUCGUCGAUGACUUCUCAAGGGCUGUGUGGAUACAUCUACUACUUGAGAAGACUGAGGUCAAGACGAUUUUGCCAAAUUUCUGCGCACUGGUUCAAAGACAGUUUGGUCGCUCAGUGCAGACAGUGAGGAGCGACAAUGGUACUGAAUUUGUCUGCUUGUCUAAGUACUUCGCGAGCAAUGGCAUUAUCCAUCAGACGUCGUGUGUUGCCACUCCACAGCAGAAUGGUCGAGUUGAGAGGAAGCAUCGACACAUUCUCAAUGUCGCGAGAUCGUUAAUGUUUCAAGCGAGUCUCCCCAUCAAGUUCUGGGGCGAAUGUAUUCUUGCUGCAGCUCACGUCAUUAACAGAACACCUUCCAGCUUACUACAUGGGAAGACACCUUAUGAGUGCUUGUACAGCAAGGCACCAAACUAUGAUGACAUCAAGGUGUUCGGUUGCUUGUGCUUCGCGCACAAGAUGUCUAGAGAUAAAGAUAAGUUCAAGGAAAGAAGUCGGAGGUGCAUCAUGGUUGGAUAUCCAUACAGGAAGCGAGGUUGGAGGCUCUAUGAUCUGGCGAGCCACGAGUUCUUUGUGUCUCGUGACGUCGUGUUCCAAGAGGACACAUUCCCAUACCUUGAUGAACACGAUGAACCACUUGGAAGCGACGAGCUACCUAUCUUCUAUGAUCAGGGAGUGUUACAUGAAGAACCACUGGUCGUAGAAUCAAGGGGGAGUGUUAGUGAUGCAGUGGUCGAACCGUCUGAGACAUCUGGAGUAUUGACGGUGGGAGAAAGAGUAGCAGAACUGGGUACUGAGACAGAGAAAGUAGUACCUGCAGUUCCUAUAGCUGAAAUCGGAGUUACAGAACCUGUUCAAGAGGAACAGUUGCUGGGGAGAGGACAUCGCGUGUCACAACCUUCGGUGAAACUCAAGGACUAUGUGACAUACAACGCACAAUGCCUCGUCGAUAAACAUAACGCCACUCCAAUCUCACCUGCAACAACUCCAUCAAGGUCCUCCGACUCGGUUCAAGGUAAAACGUCCUAUCCACUCUCCGCAUAUGUUACUGAUGCUAUGUUUUCACAGAAACAUCAAGUGUUCCUCGCAGUCAUCACAGAGGGAACAGAACCGAAAAGUUUUAAAGAAGCUAUGUUGGAUCCCAACUUCAAAGAAGCCAUGUCAGUAGAAGUAACAGCACUUGAAGAACAAGGAACUUGGGAUGUGAUGAAGCUUCCUAGAGGAAAGAAGGCGCUAGCAUGUAUGUGGAUUUAUAAAUACAAAUACAACGCCGACGGAACUAUAGAGAGACCAAAGGCGCGUUUGGUGGUGUGUGGAAACAGACAGGUAGAGGGAGAAGACUACGACGAGACGUUUGCCCCGGUAGCCAAGUUAACUAUGGUGCGAACCUUGUUGGAAGUGGCUGCGGCUAAGAACUGGGAAGUGCACCAGAUGGAUGUACAUAACGCGUUCCUCCACGGGGAUUUGAAAGAAGAAGUGUACAUGCAGAUGCCUCCUGGAUUUCAAGCGACCGCACCAGGCAAAGUGUGCAGGCUAAGGAAAUCUCUCUAUGGUCUGAAGCAGGCGCCGAGAUGUUGGUUCGCAAAGUUGACGACGGCAUUAAAGAAGUUUGGGUUUAAGCAAUCCUACUCUGACUACUCAUUGUUUACAUAUAUCAAAGGAGACAACUCGCUGCGAGUGCUCAUCUAUGUUGAUGACUUGAUCUUGACUGGAAAUGAUUCAACGAUGAUGAGCAAGUUCAAGGUGUACCUGAAUGAGUGUUUCAAGAUGAAGGAUUUAGGAAGAGCUAAGUAUUUUCUGGGAAUUGAAAUCGCAAGGGGACCUGAAGGAAUGUUUUUGUCUCAGAGGAAGUAUGCCUUAGACAUUGUUGCAGAAGCAGGGAUGCUCGGAUGUAAACCAGUUUCGACUCCUAUGGAACAGAACCAUAAGUUAUUUUUUUUGCCAAAGUAUAUAGAAGAAGUUAUACAACUUUUGUAUAGCAGUUUUCUUAUUAAAACUUCAAUCGCUCUAUGUUUUAGGUGUAUUUGAUAUUCGGAAACAUACCAAGUUAUAUAGUUAAUGCGUGAAACAUAUCUAAGGGUUGUAUGAAUAUGACAUUUGAUGUAGUUGUUGCCUUGUUUGUCCAUUUUUGAAAAAUUACAUACAUCCUCAAAUAGUCAGUUAACGUAGAUGAAGAGAUUCUAUGCCAUCAUAUAAUUAAUCUUUUUGCAUGUAUAUUGACCCACAUGUACUGUGGAUUAACAACUUUAGAAAUUCACAUUAUUUAAUAAGAAUAACUAUCACGGUAAAAUAGUUGUUCCCCUGGAAAAUAUCACAAUACUGGAAUAUAUUUUUUUGGCUGGAAAUAAAUUGUGUCACUGAAGCCAAACUAACUAACAAACAAAAUACUAGCUAUUUUUUCAGAAAAAAAAAUUCCGCUUUCUUGAUUUAAUUAAGUUUCAACUGAUGAUGUUUUUUUAUUAGCUAUCUCUCCAAUGAAUUUGUUGAUUCUUUUGAAAAGUUGUCGUAAGCCAUAAUUAAUCAACACUCCUACAAUAUACUAGUAGUAUAUAAUAUUACACGUUUAAAAAUUAUUUAUCUUGACACAACUAUAAAUGUGAAAAUGUAAUAAAUUCUCAUCACCCAACCAAUACAUUGACACUUAGAUAGUAUGUAUGUGUAUAUAUAUACACACGAUCACACCAUUCUAUCUAGCUAAAAAGUGACGACCAAUCAACAGAUACAUAUAUCUAUAUAUAGAGAAAGAGAGAUCAUAAAAGAUCACAACAUCGAACCAUGGAGAAAUCAACUAGAACCCUAAUGAUCAUAACCAUCGUGAUAACCUCCAUGUUGGUAGGGUUUGGAAGCUCAGAUCUGGAUCAAGACAGAGAAGAGUGUACGGACCAGUUGAUAGCACUCUCACCAUGUCUCCCAUACGUGGGAGGAAACGCAAAGGCUCCAACAAAAGAUUGUUGUGGUGGUUUUGAUCAGGUUAUAACAAAGAGUGAGAAGUGUGUUUGCAUAUUGGUC